UUGAGAGGAGAUUUCAGGACGUUUACCCAGCCCUUUAGUGGGGAUCUGUCCGGGACUGUGCAGUCUGAACCUGCAACUGUAAAAGAUUGCCUCUGGAUGGAUACCUAUGGUCUGGCACUAUCAAGAUGGUAUCAGUCUGUGGCUCCAGGUGGACCAUAACUCAAGAUACACAUGGGAGUAAGACACAGACUCCCUGAAUCUGCACACCUCCUGCAUGCCUCCCAUGUUAUGCAUUAUGCUUCCCUUUCUUUAAAAACCUGCCCUCAGUCCAACCUUGUGAACUGGUUUAUACAGGUGUCAUCCAGCCAUUUCCCUACUGCUGGAUUUGAAAAAUAAAGUCACUUUCCUUUC
ensembl:lncRNA PWRN2 Prader-Willi region non-protein coding RNA 2